rnacentral:tRNA from 1 species
GCCGCGCUUUGAAAAGAUGAUUGACCUGGCCUGUGCAGCCAGCGUCGUCUGUGCGGGUCUGGCGCUCGGCC